rnacentral:ncRNA from 2 species
CCGACCUCGCUGGGAGAAGCUGGCCGCCUCGAAAGGGCAUGGCCGGUGCCGAAGGAGCAACCGCCCCGGAAACUCUCAGGCAAAAGGACCAGCAAGGUGCC